UGCUUUCCCUCCAUAAGUCUUCUAAAGAAGAUCGCGGAUAGGAGGGAGUAUUCGUUUGUCGAGCCGAGUGGUGCCGAGUACCGCCGAACCGGGUACCUAGCCGAAUGCCGCCGCAACGAUUCCUGCAAGGGGGGUGGCGGGGGAAAAAGUACUGUGAGAGCCGGCGCGCCAAUCAGCCGACAGAGUGGGGAUAGUUUGUGUAGCGGCAGUCAGCCUCGAGCUGCAGCGCUGUGUGGGUGUGUUUUUCUCUCGUUCUGCUACGCUAUCUUGCGAUUCGCGAAACCGGCGGCGGCUAACCAUUAUAGCUAGCGAUUUUAAACGACGUUUUCUCUUAGUUUUCAUCGUAAUCGUGGUCGUUAUAGCUUUUGCUAUCAAUGUAAAUAGAAGUUGGUACGCGUCGUUGGUUCCUUUAUGUAUACGUCUAUCUACUGACUAUCGUAUAUACAACUCCUUUGAGAAGAAUAACACGCAAUUACUACGCAUCUUAAAAGCGUUCUUUCUCUACUUCUUUUUCUCUAUCGGAGUCUGGUACACGGUGUCAAGGUCAACAAUCUCUCGGAGUGAACGAUCGGAAACAACUCUUCAACGGACAUAACACGAUCGACUACCACGACUUGUGUGACUCUAGAUAAAAAUCAAUUUGAAUCAGCUGAGCCAAAUAAGAAACAAAACAAAAAAAAACACAUACGCAGAGAAAGAGAAAGGAGAAAGGGUUAAAUAGCAGGAAGUUGCAUGGACUUUGUUCUAAUUUUGCAAAGAUGCAAUAAUACGAAUUAAUCGUAUUAUUAAUUGACGUAAACGAGUUAUUUGAUAUUACGACUAAUACGAAAAUUAAUUAAGGGUGUUUAAACGAACAUUAUUUGAAAAAAAAAAAAAAACAAAAGUUUAUCGUACGAUUAGAAAAUGAAACAAACACGACCUAGAUCGAGAAUGAAUUUAUUUGUUUUGUAGUCAUUUGCUCGUUCAAAAAAUGUCUCUGUCGUGUCGUAUGUAAUAUUUAUUUAAGAAAACGAAA
rnacentral:lncRNA from 1 species